CCUACGGGAGGCAGCAGUGGGGGAUAUUGCACAAUGGGCGAAAGCCUGAUGCAGCAACGCCGCGUGAGGGAAGACGGUUUUCGGAUUGUAAACCUCUGUAUUCGGUGAAGAAACAAAUGACGGUAGCCGAGGAGGAAGCCACGGCUAACUACGUGCCAGCAGCCGCGGUAAUACGUAGGUGGCAAGCGUUGUCCGGAAUUACUGGGUGUAAAGGGAGCGCAGGCGGGGAGACAAGUCAGCUGUGAAAACUAUGGGCUUAACCCAUAAACUGCAGUUGAAACUGUUUUUCUUGAGUGGAGUAGAGGUAGGCGGAAUUCCGAGUGUAGCGGUGAAAUGCGUAGAUAUUCGGAGGAACACCAGUGGCGAAGGCGGCCUACUGGGCUCUAACUGACGCUGAGGCUCGAAA
rnacentral:rRNA from 1 species